rnacentral:lncRNA from 1 species
CCUUAAGAACAAUAAAUUGCUCAUCUAUUUCAAAUUGUCAAAUAAACUAAUUUGCACUAUAUAUAUAGUAUAAUAGAAAAUUGUUAUAGAUAUCAUCUUUUAUAACAAUGUAGUGGUGACGAUGGAAGCUUAAUUUGAUACCUGACUUAAUUAUAAUAUAAUAUGUAUAACAUUAUUGAUAUAAGAAUAUGUAAUAUUGAU